UGUUUCACAGCUGGCACUGAAACACAGACAGGGAAAGAACCAUAAGAUGAGGAUCAUUGCCUUUGUGGGAAGCCCUGUGGAGGACCAGGAGAAAGAUUUGGUGAAGAUGGCAAAACGUUUGAAGAAG